rnacentral:rRNA from 1 species
GACGAACGCUGGCGGCGUGCUUAACACAUGCAAGUCGAACGGAAAGGCCCUGCUUUUGUGGGGUGCUCGAGUGGCGAACGGGUGAGUAACACGUGAGUAACCUGCCCUUGACUUUGGGAUAACUUCAGGAAACUGGGGCUAAUACCGGAUAGGAGCUCCUGAUGCAUGGUGGGGGUUGGAAAGUUUCGGCGGUUGGGGAUGGACUCGCGGCUUAUCAGCUUGUUGGUGGGGUAGUGGCUUACCAAGGCUUUGACGGGUAGCCGGCCUGAGAGGGUGACCGGCCACAUUGGGACUGAGAGACGGCGCAGACUCCUACGGGAGGCAGCAGUGGGGAAUAUUGCAGAAUGGGCGGAAGCCUGAUGCAGCAACGCCGCGUGCGGGAUGACGGCCUUCGGGUUGUAAACCGAUUUCGCCUGUGACGAAGCGUGAGUGACGGUAAUGGGUAAAGAAGCACCGGCUAACUACGUG